rnacentral:rRNA from 1 species
CGCUCCUACCGAUUGAGUGAUCCGGUGAAUAAUUCAGACUGUCGCAAUGUUUAGUUCUUGAACACUGCAAUGGAAAGCUUAAUGAACCUUAUCACUUAGAGGAAGGAGAAGUCGUAACAAGGUUUCUGU